rnacentral:lncRNA from 1 species
CAAACUCUUUUCCAAAGCAGCUGCACCAUUUGCAUUCCCACCAGUGUAUGUGAGGCUUCCAUAUUUUCCACUUCCUUGCCAUCCCUUGGUAUGGAUUGCUGUAUUCUCUAUAGCCUUGUCACUUGGUUUUUAUGAUAAGUGAUGCUCUUGAUUGUCGGGUUUCUCUCUGAAAGGCCAUUCACACUCCUCACAGUUGGGGAGGGAGGAGGAGGCAAGGAUAUCAAAGAUAUCUUUAUUGAGGCAGAGCUAGAUUAGAGAAUGUGGCUUAGAUUUGGGGCAAGUAGAUAAGGUUUCUAAUAAUGUCUCCUCUGAGCAAAAAUUAUUCACCGCAGCCUGCAGGCUUCCCUCCCUUUCUCCUGCCACCAUGCAGACGAGUCCCAGCCUCCCCAAUGAAACCACCUUGGAGAGGAGAUAAGCAGGAAGCCAUGAGAGCAGGCAGCAAAGAGCCAGGCCUCGAGGUCCAGGUAAGCAUCAUAACCAGUAGAUACCAGGGAGCAGAUGAGAGUCAAACGCCGGCUUCUCCCUGCUCACAGAAAUCAAUUCAUACGUGGAAAGCAGUGCCCAAGGCUUAACUUGUUCCUCAGUUAGAGUUCUCCUUGGGGGAUUGGAGCAGCAAUCCCCACUUACAAACAUCAGCAAUGAGGAAAGGAAUCCCCACCAAGUUUG